AAAAGGGAAAUUGCCAAAAAUACUUUUUUCAAAGUACCAUUUUUCAUGUUAACACUAACUACUUUUACCCUCAUCUUUAAUGAAUGGUAAAAGACAUUUAUAAUAUUUUGAUUACCUUUGACAAAAAAAAACAUAUGGCUAACUAAUCUAAACUUAAAACAUCAACUCUAAACCCUAAACCAUGAAACAUCAACUCUAAACCCUAAACCCCGAAACAUCAACUCUAAACCCUAAACGUAAACCCUAAACCCUAAAUCUAAACUUAAAACCUCAACUUUAAACCCUAAAUCAUCAACUCUAAACCCUAAACCCUGAAACAUCAACUCUAAACCCUAAACCCUAAACCUUCAAAUCAAAAUCCUAAAACAUCAACUCUAAACCCUAAACGUAAACCCUAAACCCUAAACCUUAUAUUUUUCUGAAUUUCAAACCCUAAACCCUAAACCUUCAAAUCUAAACCCUAAAACAUCAACUCUAAACUCUAAACGUAAACC
rnacentral:lncRNA from 1 species